UCAACCCCCUUUAUUCAUUUCCCAAAACCUGAGCAACAGCAGAGGCGACAGUCGGCAGUCGCCGCCGUCAAAGAUGCAAAUCUUCAUGGAAAUCCUGAUGGGGAAGACCAUCAGCCUUGACGUGGAGUAUUCUGACACCAUCUACAAUGUCAAGGCCAAAAUCCAGGACAAGGAGGGGCAUCCCCCUGAAACCAAUAGCGCCUCAUCUUCGUCGGCAAGCAGCUGGAGGACGGCCGUACCCUAGCCGACUACAAUAGCCGAAAGGAGCCAAAAGGAGUCCACCAUCCACUUGUUCCUCCACUUCCAUGGUGACGCAACACCAAGCCCAAGAAAAAGAAGGUCACGCUUGCCGUCCUCUAGUUCGACAAGGUCGAUGACUCAGGCAUGGUCCAGAGGCUCAGGAAGGAGUGCCCUAUUGCUGAGUGUGGUGCUGGCACUAUUGCGGCAAGUAUGGCCUCACCUAUGUAUACCAGAAGGCUGGCGGUGAUUGAGGGAACUCUGGACUAAUUGUGCAUUCAACGCUGAAGGGGAUCGAUGUGCUCUCCACCAAUUCUCAGGUGUUUUUAGUCUUUUUGAGGAAAUCUUGAUAUUCAGGAUUAUGGUAUAAGCCGGAGAGAGCAUUUUCCUUGCCAAAGAUAUGUUGCUCAUUUUAGAUUUUUGGAAGAUCGGCAGCAAGAGUUGCUAAUUGACUCAAGAACUACAGAGAAAAUCUUAUCCUCAGGAAAUAUUCCACGAUAUAUUUUUUUGGGGACUUGGAUUUGUUUUGUAAAACUGUCUUGACUUAUAUGUAAAAUUUAUGCCAAAUACCACUUCUCAAACUAUUUGUAGGGUGUUGUUGAAUUUGAUUAUGAUUUUCGAAUGUUUAAAAUGAUAUUUUGGCAUUCCGUAAUGUAAUGGAUGCCUUCAUUUGUUAA